rnacentral:rRNA from 1 species
CGCGUAGGCGGGCAUUCAAGUCUGUGGUGAAAUCCUCCAGCUCAACUGGAGAACUGCCGUGGAUACUGGGUGUCUCGAGGGAGGUAGGGGCGUGCGGAACUAUUGGUGGAGCGGUGAAAUGCGUUGAUAUCAAUAGGAACUCCGGUGGCGAAGGCGGCACGCUGGACCUCUUCUGACGCUGAGGCGCGAAAGCCAGGGGGAGCAAACGGGAUUAGAUACCCCGGUAGUCCUGGCCCUAAACGUUGGGUACUAGAUAGUAGGCUUCACAUGGGUUUACUGUCGAAGCAAAAGUGCUAAGUACCCCGCCUGGGGAGUAUGGUCGCAAGGCUGAA